AGGUGAUGAUUACCUUAGAUGACGAGUCUGAUUUAGGGGUUUUUCUCGCUGAAGACACAAUCUUUUUUAUACCAUUCAUGCAUUUCUGAUU
rnacentral:snoRNA from 1 species